rnacentral:rRNA from 1 species
AAACCAGCACCUCAAGUGGUCAGGAGGAUUAUUGGGCCUAAAGCAUCCGUAGCCUGUUCUAUAAGUUUCCGGUUAAAUCCACUAGCUCAACUAGUGGGCUGCCGAAAAUACUGUAGAACUAGGGAGUGGGAGAGGUAGACGGUAUUCGGUAGGAAGGGGUAAAAUCCUUUGAUCUAUUGAGGACCACCUGUGGCGAAGGCGGUCUACCAGAACACGUCCGACGGUGAGGGAUGAAAGCUGGGGGAGCAAACCGGAUUAGAUACCCCAGUAGUCC